AUUGAACGCUGGCGGCAGGCCUAACACAUGCAAGUCGAGCGAGCGGCGGACGGGUGAGUAAUGUAUGGGGACUGCCCGAUAGCGGGGGAUAACUACUGGAAACGGUAGCUAAUACCGCCUCCUAUCUGAUAACCCCUAUGGCAUUAGCUAGUAGGUGGGGUAAUGGCUCACCUAGGCGACGAUCCCUAGCUGGUCUGAGAGGAUGAUCAGCCACACUGGGACUGGGACACGGCCCAGACUCCUACGGAGGCAGAAGUGGGGAAUAUUGCACAAUGGGCGCAAGCCGGAUGCAGCCAUGCCGCGUGUAGGAAGAAGGCCCUAGGGUGGUAAAGUACUUUCAGUCGGGAGGCGUUACCGACAGAAGAAGCAACGGCUAACUCCGUGCCAGCCGCCGCGGUAAUAC
rnacentral:rRNA from 1 species